rnacentral:rRNA from 1 species
CCUACGGGUGGCAGCAGUGAGGAAUAUUGGUCAAUGGACGAGAGUCUGAACCAGCCAAGUAGCGUGAAGGAUGACUGCCCUAUGGGUUGUAAACUUCUUUUAUAUGGGAAUAAAAUGUUCCACGUGUGGGAUUAUGUAUGUACCAUAUGAAUAAGGAUCGGCUAACCUCGUGCCAGCAGCCGCGGUAAUACGGAGGAUCCGAGCGUUAUCCGGAUUUAAUGGGUUUAAAGGGAGCGUAGGUGGAUUGUUAAGUCAGUUGUGAAAGUUUGCGGCUCAACCGUAAAAUUGCAGUUGAAACUGGCAGUCUUGAGUACAGUAGAGGUGUGCGGAAUUCGUGGUGUAGCGGUGAAAUGCUUAGAUAUCACGAAGAACUCCGAUUGCGAAGGCAGCUCACUGGACUGCAACUGACACUGAGGCUCGAAAGUGUGGGUAUCAAACAGGAUUAGAUACCCCAGUAGUC